GGCGGUUUGAUCAUGGCUCAGAUUGAACGCUGGCGGCAUGCCUAACACAUGCAAGUCGAACGGCAGCAUGACGUGUAGCAAUACACGUUGAUGGCGAGUGGCGGACGGGUGAGGAAUGCAUCGGAAUCUGCCCAGUCGUGGGGGAUAACGUAGGGAAACUUACGCUAAUACCGCAUACGACUACGCAUUGAAAAAUGCGGGGUGAAAGCGGGGGACCUUCGGGCCUCGCGCGAUUGGAUGAGCCGAUGCCGGAUUAGCUAGUUGGCGGGGUAAAAGCCCACCAAGGCGACGAUCCGUAGCUGGUGUGAGAGCAUGACCAGCCACACUGGGACUGAGACACGGCCCAGACUCCUACGGGAGGCAGCAGUGGGGAAUCUUGCGCAAUGGGCGAAAGCCUGACGCAGCGACGCCGCGUGCGGGAAGAAGGCCUUCGGGUUGUAAACCGCUUUCAGGAGGGACGAAGCCACUCGGGUUAAUAGCCCAGAGGGUGACGGUACCUCCAGAAGAAGCCCCGGCUAACUACGUGCCAGCAGCCGCGGUAAUA
rnacentral:rRNA from 1 species